rnacentral:rRNA from 1 species
GAGAGUAAAAUAGUACGUGAAAUUGUUGAAAGGGAAACGAUUGAAGCCAGUCGUACCUUCGGGUAAUCAGCCUUUCGGGUGCGAUUCUGUGGAGUGUGAGGAGCUUAAACACCUUCAUGUUUUGCAUAUUCGUACUCUUGGGUGUACUUGCCCGUGUGGUUGGUUAACAUCAAUUUUGGUGGUCAUAAAAUGACUGGGGGAAUGUAGCUUCGAUCUUGUAUUGAAGUGUUAUAGCCUUCGGUAGAUGUGAUGAUCGAGAUUGAGGAUUGCAACGGAUACCCUUCGGGGCUACCUGUCUGGUCUCUGAUCGUUGCUCUGGUGCCGAAAGCUUGCUUACGGUUAUCAAAGUCGAUGGUCAAUAGGUUAGAACGGGUUAAAUUCGUUAAGGAUGUUGACGUAAUGGCUUUAAACGA